rnacentral:rRNA from 1 species
UCCACGCCCUAAACGAUGAACACUAGUCGUCGGGAUGCUAGUCAUCUCGGUGAUGCACUUAACAGAUUAAGUGUUCCGCCUGGGGAGUACGGUCGCAAGAUUAAAACUCAAAGGAAUAGACGGGGGCUGGAAUCGCUAGUAAUCGUAGAUCAGCAAUGCUACGGUGAAUACGUUCCCGGGUCUUGUACUCACCGCCCGUCACACCAUGGGAGUUGAUUUCGCUCGAAGCCGGAAUACUAAAUUAGUUACCGUCCACAGCGGAAUUAGCGACUGGGGUGAAGUCGUAAC